GAAUAAGCUCAGUUGGUUAGAGUAUGGUGCUGAUGAGGCCAAGGUUGUAGGUUUGAUCCCCUCAUGGGACA